GAUGAACGCUAGCGGUAGGCCUAAUACAUGCAAGUCGAACGGUGUCUUCGGACAUAGUGGCGCACGGGUGCGUAACACGUAUGCAACCUACCUUACAUUGGGGGAUAGCCUUUCGAAAGGGAGAUUAAUACCGCAUAAGACAGUAGCUGGGCAUCCAGCAGCUGUUAAAGAUUUAUCGAUGUAAGCUGGGCAUGCGUCCAAUUAGCUAGUCGGUGAGGUAACGGCUCACCAAGGCAAUGAUUGGUAGGGGAACUGAGAGGUCAAUCCCCCACACUGGCACUGAGAUACGGGCCAGACUCCUACGGGAGGCAGCAGUAGGGAAUAUUGGGCAAUGGACGCAAGUCUGACCCAGCCAUGCCGCGUGCAGGAUGAAGGCGUUAUGCGUUGUAAACUGCUUUUAUACAGGAAGAAACGACUCUUGCGAGAGGCAUUGACGGUACUGUAUGAAUAAGCACCGGCUAACUCCGUGCCAGCCGCCGCGGUAACAC
rnacentral:rRNA from 1 species